UAAGUUACUCAAGGUUUUUGCUAGGUAACCAAAGAGGGGGUGAGUUAGUGGAUGCCACCAACCUUGCAUACCUCAUCGUGAGAGGUUGAGCAGCGGCUAACGACCUUUCUCUGCCCACAUCUCCCAGAAUGCUGUGAGAUUUUGUAUCGGAUUUCAGUGAAUAUUCUAUAUAUUGAAAAUUCUAUCUGAUCUAUUGUCUAUUGAUAAUGAUCACGUGUCUAUCACAAUAUAAAUUGUUAUAGAUUUAUUGUCCAGCCCUAGUUUAGCAAGUUUAUGCUGCACAUUUGCAGGUGACACACUUUUCCCCCAAAACAGCUUCUGAAAUGGAGGCAACACACAUAAAUAAAGACAGUUGGACAAAUGAGUAAAUGUGAUUCACAAAUGUUUUGCAAAGAAAGAAUGAGGACUGUUUUUCUUCUUUUUUUUUUUUUUGUUAAAGUAAACUUUUGGCUUAAAUUACAGUCACUCAAACCAGCACAACAGAAUUUAGUAAAUUGAAGAUAUCUGCUGAAGAAUUUCUUUGUCAGCACUUCAUUUCCUAAACAGUCCAAAGACGGGCUUCCUUUCCAAAACAAAUUUCUUGGAAAUGUCCUUCCAGUUGCAAAACAUUACGAAUUCUUUUCGCACUCAUGUUUCCACUACAGACAUGACUCCUCGCUGGGAGUGGAGUUGAAUGAAGGGGAUCGGCACGAUAAACAGACAUGAUUCCUCCAUGGUCAAGGCAGCCCUUGCGUUUGGAUUAACUUUUUCGGCACAUCGAUGAUCUCACAUUAAUAUAAACGUGGAGACGGCAUGCGGGUCUCCGCAGACGUGCGGUGCACAGGACGGUGUAUGUGGUCCCAGCAGCUCUCCUCGCCCACACCUUCGACUCUCGGCUCAGCUGAGUUAAGCUGUGAGAUUGAGAAAUCUAUCGUUGUGGUCGUUGGAUGUUUCACAUUUAGCAGCCAUUCUUAGCAACGUCUCCAGAGGGGUUUGCGACGCUCGUGCCACCCCCAACCCCUCCCCACUGCUCUGCAGCUUGUCCUUGAGGGCCGUCAUCCUCCAUAAUCCCUUUAGCAAAGCCUCUCAUACCAAAUGAAUUUGUGUCCUUAACCGACGAUUUGCCUUUUAGGAAAACUAAAGCAGGUAUAUUUGCAUGAAGUAAACAUAGCGUUGCUUUAAUGUGGAGCAAGAAAAAUACGUAAAAGAAGGACACGGUUCAUUCGGAAAAUCAAACGCAAACAUCCGUCCUCUGUUGCUUGGGUUAUGCUAAGGAUGGCGGUAAAUGUGAGGGGGUGAACUGCAACCCAACACCACAAGCCCUAGAUCUCAU